AACACAAUCGCAAUUAUUACUCAAAAGAUCAAUCUAUAUAUUAGGAACAGAUCUUAGAAAUGUAUAUAUUACAUAUUUUUUUGAGAGAUAGGUAGCACGCUACCCGCUUCGUUUAUUUCAUUUAGAAAUAAACUUAGCUGGAAAUGUGAAUCAACUAAGAUUCAAAUUUGGAUUUCGGGUACCAAUCACCAAGCUCUUUGCCACUUGCUCUAGGUAUGUAUAUAUUAUAUUAACACCUCUAUUCACGUACAUAAUAAAUAUGAAAAGAUCAAAAAAAUUUAGAAUUAGUUUUGAUAUCAUAUUAUCUGAAAGAUCGAUUUACUAGAAAAUAGUCCAAAAAUCUAUAUAUUACAGUAGUAAGAGUUGGUACAGCAAUAUAAAAUGAU
rnacentral:lncRNA from 1 species